GAUGAACGCUAGCGGCAGGCCUAAUACAUGCAAGUCGAGGGGCAGCAGGAUAGCAAUAUCGCUUGCGACCGGCGCACGGGUGCGUAACACGUAUAUAAUCUGCCUUUAACAGGGGGAUAGCCCGGAGAAAUCCGGAUUAAUACCCCAUAAUAGAUCGACUGGCAUCAUUUGGUUUUGAAAGCUCCGGCGGUUACAGAUGAGUAUGCGUCUGAUUAGCUAGUUGGUGAGGUAACGGCUCACCAAGGCGACGAUCAGUAGGGGAUCUGAGAGGAUUAACCCCCACACGGAUACUGAGACACGGAUCCGACACCUACGGGAGGCAGCAGUAAGGCAUAUUGGACAAGGCCCGCAAGGGUGAUCCAGCCAUGCCGCGUGCAGGAAGACGGCCCUAGGGGUGGUAAACUGCUUUUGUGCCGGAGAAAACCUCUUCUCGUGAGAAGAGCUGAUAUUAUGGGAAGAAUAAGCAUCGGCUAACUUCGUG
rnacentral:rRNA from 1 species